GAUCCAAUUGGUCAAAGAGGAAUAUGGGUUUUAAGCCCAAAUUAGAAUCAAAGCCCAAGAGAGAAAAAUCAAAACAAAUGAAAAGAACGCCCCUAGGUUGCUUGAGUUUGUCCUCCUCCUCCUCCGCCUGUAAGAACCUCCUCAUCCACAUCGACCAACAUUUAGUGUAAAAGAUUGUUCUAAGGAAAUAAAUCGAUUAACGAUUUGAUGCGAUCAUUUCAUGAGCUCAGCUCGUGUGUAUGAAGCCUCAAUUGUCUGUUGAUCAAUUGGAAACAAGACAAUGUUGUUGAAAAGACAUCGCUCCAGUGAAAACGAAACAGUAAAAAGACAUCGUCGCUCCAGUGAGGAAUUGCUUCCACACGAUGUUGUAGAGCUCAUCCUUGAGAGGCUUCCUGUGAAAUCUCUCAUAUGUGUAUUUUGAUGGGUGAGUAUGACUACCCGAAUCCUAAGCUUGGAUUUGGCAAAGAUAAAUUUACGGGCACAUACAAGCCGGUUUGGUUGUAUAAUUCAACCGAAUUUGGACUAGAAAACGUUACCACUUGUGAAGUUUUCGAUUUUAGCACAAACGCUUGGAGGUACGUUCUCCCUGCUUCUCCCUAUCGGAUUAAUGAUGUCAAUUUUCCCGUGUAUUUUGAUGGGUCUCUUUAUUGGCUCACCCUUUGCGAAGAGACCAAGCUGUUAUCUUUCGAUCUGCACACUGAAAUUUUUCAAGUCAUCUGUAAAGCUCCCUUUACCCCCGCAAGUGACAUUUUCAGCCAUAGCAACCGCAUCAUGUGCAUCCUCGACAACCGCUUGUGCGUAUCUGAGAACAAUGGUGCAACCCAAGUGAUAUGGUCGUUGGAUUCUUCAGGCCUCAACAAGACAUGGAAGAUAUUGUGUUCGAUAGAUUUCACAAAAACUGUUUCUUGGUUUGGGGACAAACCCUUGUUCCCUGUGAAACCUAUAGAAAUUCUGGACGACGAUAAGUUAUUGGUUGGACAACAUGGUUACUUGGUGCUGCAUGAUCUCCAUGCCAAAUCUUAUGAUUUACUCGUUGAUCGCGAAACCACCCUUGGAUAUCAUGUGUCUUAUUUCCAAAGUUUAUUCUCUGUUUUACCAAAUUCAAUUAUUUGUACUGAUGAACUGUUGUAACAAUUUAACAUUUUCUGCAUUUUGAUUUAACAAUGAUUUUCUUCUAGUUCUGAAA